rnacentral:rRNA from 1 species
CGGACGGGUGAGUAAUGCAUCGACGUAUCCUGGAGUGGGGGAUAACGUAGCGAAAGUUACGCUAAUACCGCAUAUUCUGUGAGCAGGAAAGCAGGGGAUCGCAAGACCUUGCGCUCUGGGAGCGGCCGAUGUCGGAUUAGCUAGUUGGUGGGGUAAAGGCCUACCAAGGCGACGAUCCGUAGCGGGUCUGAGAGGAUGAUCCGCACACUGGGACUGAGACACGGCCAACUCCUACGGGAGGCAACAGUGGGGAAUUUUGGACAAUGGGCGGAAGCCUGAUCCAGCCAUGCCGCGUGAGUGAAGAAGGCCUUCGGGUUGUAAAGCUCUUUCGGCGGGGAAGAAACUUGCACGGGUUAAUACCCCUGUGUAGAUUGGACGGGGAACCCCCGGAAAUUAACGGAAAGGCACACCGGGGGCUAAACCUAACGGUUGGCCAAGGCAAAGGCCCGGGCGGGUCAACUUACACGGUCANAGGGGGGAGGCAGAACGCGGUUCAAANACCCGGGAACACAACCUNUGGGGGCGGUUAACACAGGCCGGUCGCCGCCCAAGGGCGGGCACUGGGGCAAANGUCCAAGAAAAUCGGGGGAAAAAAUGCAC